ACGGAAGGCAGCAGUGGGGAAUAUUGCACAAUGGGCGAAAGCCUGAUGCAGCGACGCCGCGUGAACGAAGAAGUAUUUCGGUAUGUAAAGUUCUAUCAGCAGGGAAGAAGAAUGACGGUACCUGACUAAGAAGCACCGGCUAAAUACGUGCCAGCAGCCGCGGUAAUACGUAUGGUGCAAGCGUUAUCCGGAUUUACUGGGUGUAAAGGGAGCGCAGGCGGUAUGGCAAGUCUGAUGUGAAAGCCCGGGGCUCAACCCCGGUACUGCAUUGGAAACUACCAGACUAGAGUGUCGGAGAGGUAAGUGGAAUUCCUAGUGUAGCGGUGAAAUGCGUAGAUAUUAGGAGGAACACCAGUGGCGAAGGCGGCUUACUGGACUGUAACUGACGUUGAGGCUCGAAAGCGUGGGGAGCAAACAGGAUUAGAUACCCUGGUA
rnacentral:rRNA from 1 species